GAUGAACGCUAGCGGCAGGCCUAACACAUGAAAGUCGAGGGGCAGCACAGAAACAGCAAUGUUUUGGUGGCGACCGGCGGACGGGUGCGUAACGCGUCUGCAACCUACCUUUAACAGGGGGAUAACGGAGAGAAAUUUCCACUAAUACCCCAUAACAUCGAUCAAGGCAUCUUGAUUGGUUGAAAACUCCGGUGGUUAAAGAUGGGCAUGCGUUGUAUUAGGUAGUUGGUGAGGUAAUGGCUCACCAAGCCUACGAUACAUAGGGGGACUGAGAGGUUAGCCCCCCACACUGGUACUGAGACACGGACCAGACUCCUACGGGAGGCAGCAGUGAGGAAUAUUGGUCAAUGGGGGCAACCCUGAACCAGCCAUGCCGCGUGCAGGAAGACGGCUCUAUGAGUUGUAAACUGCUUUUAAACAGGGAUAAAGCACAGUAUGUAUACUGUGUUGAAGGUACCGUAAGAAUAAGGAUCGGCUAACUCCGUGCCAGCCGCCGCAUAA
rnacentral:rRNA from 1 species